rnacentral:sRNA from 1 species
GCCGGGCAUGGUGGCGCAUGCCUGUAGUCCCAGCUACUCGGGAGGCUGAGGCAGGAGGAUCGCUUGAGCCCAGGAGUUUGAGGUUGCUGUGAGCUAGGCUGAUGCCACGGCACUCACUCUAGGGCAAAAGAGUGAGACUCUGUCUCCAAAAAAAAAAAGAAAAAAAAGAGACAAGAUCUUGCUCUGUCACCCAGGCUGGAAUGCAGUGGCAUGAUCAUAGCUCACUGUAACCUGGAACUCCUAGGCUCGAGCAAUCCUCUGGCCUU